rnacentral:rRNA from 1 species
GUAGGCAUGUGGUGCAGUCUCGAACAAGUAACGGUCCGGAUUUCCCGGGAUGGGGAAUCAGGGUUCGAUUCCGGAGAGGGAGCCUGAGAAACGGCUACCACAUCUAAGGAAGGCAGCAGGCGCGUAAAUUACCCACUCCCAGCUCGGGGAGGUAGUGACGAAAAAUAACAAUACAGGACUCAUAAUAGAGGCCCUGUAAUUGGAAUGAGUACACUUUAAAUCCCUUAACAAGGACCUAUUGGAGGGCAAGUCUGGUGCCAGCAGCCGCGGUAACUCCAGCUCCAAUAGCGUAUAUUAAAGUUGUUGCGGUUAAAACGUUCGUAGUUGAACUUGUGCUUCAUACGGGUAGUAUAGCUAUAAUUGUAGUUUGUACUAUACCUUAUGUAUGUAAGCGUAUUACCGGUGGAGUUCUUAUAUGCGUUAAAUACUUGUAUUUGCGUAUGUUCCUCCUAUUUAAACCUGCUUCAGUGCUCUUCAUCGAGUGUUGUUGUGGGCCGGUACAAUUACUUUGAACAAAUUAGAGUGCUUAAAGCAGGCUCCAAAUGCCUGAAUAUUUUGUGCAUGGAAUAAUGAAAUAAGACCUCUGUUCUACUUUCAUUGGUUGUUAGAUCAAGAGGUAAUGAUUAAUAGAAGCAGUUUGGGGGCAUUAGUAUUACGACGCGAGAGGUGAAAUUCUUGGACCGUCGUAAGACUAACUUAAGCGAAAGCAUUUGCCAAAGAUGUUUUCAUUAAUCAAGAACGAAAGUUAGAGGUUCGAAGGCGAUCAGAUACCGCCCUAGUUCUAACCAUAAACGAUGCCAGCUAGCAAUUGGGUGUAGCUAAUUUCAUGGCUCUCUCAGUCGCUUCCCGGGAAACCAAAGCUUUUGGGCUCCGGGGGAAGUAUGGUUGCAAAGCUGAACUUAAAGGAAUUGACGGAGGCACACCAGGAGUGGAGCCUGCGGCUUAAUUUGACUCACACGGGAAACUUACCAGGUCCGAACAUAAGUGUGUAGACAGAUGAUAGCUCUUUCUCGAUCUAUGGGUGGUGGUGCAUGCGUUCUAGUCGUGGAGUGAUUUGUCUGUAUCCGAUACGACGAGACUCAAAUAAUAAUAAGAUGCUCAGGAUAUGUGGUGGAGCUAUAUAGCUCAUCCGACGC